AACACAGGCUCAGUUCAUGCAGAUAAAUAACGGUCUGUGAGACAGAUCUCUAAGGCACACGACGUUAUAUCCAGCCUGGGCUGCUUUUGCAGCCGCAGAGCUCCUGGGCGCCCUGAGCCUGCUGCACCCCACAGCCCCUGGCCUCGCGGUGCGAGCCGUGCCCGGCGUCCUGGUGCCCCGUGCCGAGCCCAGCCGCGUGUCGGGGCCUGAGUGACGGCGACAGGAGGCGGUGGCACCCGGUGCCGGUCCCGGUCCCAGCCCUGCCGCAGGCCGCGCUGUGCCCCAGGUCUGCCAUGCUCGCCCUUCCCCUCCUCGUCCUCCUGGCCUCCGCCGGGACAGGCCCAGCGGCCGGCCUGGCUGUCAUAGCCCGCACGCUCUUCCCGUGCUACUCUGCCGACCUCAAGCCGGUGUCCGAGGUCCUGGUCUCGGCCAGGGGCUGCACUGUGCUCUUCAGCGUCGAGCCGAGGGCAGCCGGCACCACGGCGUCCUGGGAGUACGAGUCCGGCGCGCGCAAGGAGCUCAUCGCCACGUUGGUUCCCAACAAGUCGGCCGAGAUCUCCCGCGCCUACGUGGGCCACGCCAGGCUCAGCGAGAUGGACUUCUCGCUGCAGCUGGUGCUGCGCUGGUGGAACGGGGGGUUCUACCGCUUCCGCUCCGAGUCGGAGGCCACGGGCUGGUUGGAGCUGCGCGUGGUCGAGCCGCUCUCCGAGCCAGAAAUCCUGGGCAACUCCUUCGUGGAGGUGGGAGGAGACACCAAGCUGUACUGCAACGUGCUGGAGGGGCAGGUGGACGUGUACCGGUGGAAGAGGAACGGGAAGCUGCUGAUGGAGAGCAACGGCCUCCAGUUCAUCCACAACAACACGCUGGAGAUCCACCGAGCCCUGAUGAACGACACCGGCUACUACACGUGCAUAGUCAGCAACGCGGUCAGCCACAACGAAACCUCCUUCCUGCUGCGCGUCCACAGCAACGACAAGGCGUUUUUACCCAUCAUCCUGGUGUUCGUUAGCAUUGGCUUGCUGGCAGGUGAGUGCUGGGACCAGCUUCCCCUGGCAUUUUGGGCUCUGCUGCACCACCGAUGGGCUCCGUGUCAGGCACCGCGCGCUGCCUUGCCCCCCUGCCCCAGCCUCAGGAGCAGAGGUUGCUCUGAGCAGGCUUCAGAUCCUGCAGAUCCUCUCGCUGUCCCUGCUUGGGUCAGUCCCACGGAUGAUUCUGGACCCCUCAUAUCCCUGCUGGGGAGGGAGCAGUUUUGCCCCCCAGUGCAGCCCGCUGGGGUUUUCUGCCUGCAGAAGGCAAGCGCGCGUCCUUGCCCCGUGGCCUUGCUUCUCUUCCUUGUUUGGAGCGCUUUUUCCAAGCUAAUCCAUCUCCAGGAUGACAGCAGUUUGACUUUGCAGAUUGCUGGCUACAAAUUGGGAGGGGAAAAAAAAAAAAAAAAAAAGCAGGGAUGCACCCAAGUUGGGGCCCAAGGAGAGAGUCUGGUGGCUUAAAAUAGGAAGCUCUGUGCGGGUGGUGAAAAAGCCUCCAGGCGUGAGGCUCCUUGCCACGCGCUGAGCAUCUUCAUCCCUGGGGUGUUUAACAGAGGCAAUGUUUGUCCUCAGGGAUCUUCGUCUGGUGCAGGUUGAGGAGGAGCCAAGACGAUAGCUCCAGAAGCAGCCCAAAAAUCAGAGCAGAGCAGGGUCUCUCCCAGAGGAGGAACACUCAGCGUCCCCAAAGCACCUCUGCGGCUCAGACGCUGGCUGCAAGUAAAGUUUUCCAGAUUGGUUCAUCAAUCUGGCAGCCUCUAGGGUGGAGCAGACGGGGAUGGCGCACAGACCUGAAACAUGCUCCGUAAUGUUUACAGAGCUGUUGUUGUUUGUUUGUUUUAAAUUCCCCAAAGUGCUCGAGAGGCUGGUGGGAAACGUGUGGUUUUGCAGCCUCCCCGAGGCUUGCUCGCUCUCAGGUGACUCGUGCAAGCAGCAGGGUGUUAACAGAAGGAGGGCAAGGACCGGGAUACGGUGCCCCAAGGACGGGAAACCCCAUCCCGAGGCAAAAAUAACAGCUCUGAGCUGUCUGGCAGCCCCAGCUGGCUGAGCCCAUCCCCAGCAGCUCCUCAGCUCGGGCAGUUUGGGGGUCCUGUGCCCGCUCCUCUGCGCUGGUGGCUUGGGGACCUCUCCCGGCUGUGAGCUUCAAGGAGAGAGAUGGGGGGCUUCAGGCUGUGCGUUCUUCGCUGUUCUGUUCCUGCAGGUGUUUUUUUUUUAAUCUUCUGUUUGUGAUUUUCAGGUAGUUUCUGACAAUUUAGCACUGGAAAAGCCAGAGGUUUCGUUGUCCUCAGCAUUAUCCCUAUGGAGAUACCUCUUGGGAGAGUGGAAGCUCAUCCAGGAGCGGGUGAAAUCAUGCCCCACGGUGGGAGUGAUUGCUAUGCUUGCAAGCGUUCAGGGAAGCCAAAUGUUACAGAAAAAAAUAUAUUUUUGAGCUGUUUUGAGUGUUGUCUAUAAAAUCAUUUGGGGAAACUAGUUUUUCAUGUCUCUUGCUACAAAUAAAAGCGCACACGUUCUUCCUCUU